rnacentral:lncRNA from 1 species
UCAUGUGACAUGCCUGCUUCCCCUUUGCCUUCCACCGCAAUUGUAAGGUUCCUGAGGCCCUCGCCAGAAACCAAGCAGGUGUUGGUGCCAUGCUUGUACAGCCUGCGGAAUCGCUCCCACAGAACAUGGAUGACCGCCAUCACACUGUUUAUGAUGAGUAUUGCACUUGACUGGUCAUUUGUCAUCCUUAUAAUGUGCAGAGUGCCUUGGACUGACAAACUGAAAUACAUUUUGAUUAGGCAACAUGAGCAGAAGGAGUGUGGGGAGAGGACUGUAUAAAUCUGUUUUACUCAACCUUGAAGAAAUGUUAAGUGUUAAUUCCCUGCAUCAAAUAAAGUACACCAAGUAUAUAUGCAGCGUUCCUGAGAGCUUCCUAAUGAACUGAAAAAACAAACAAUCUG